rnacentral:tRNA from 17 species
GGCACCAUAGCCAAAUGGUAAGGCAUAGGUCUGCAACACCUUGAUGUACCGGUUCGAGUCCGGUUGGUGCCUCCA